UAGAAAGGAAGAGGGAGCGGAACCGAAUUGCUGCUUCAAAAUGCAGAAUGCGUAAACUUGAAAGAAUAGCUCAGCUAGAUGAGGAAGUUAGAAGGUUAAAAGCA